GACGAACGCUGGCGGCGUGCUUAACACAUGCAAGUCGAACGGAAAGGCCCUGCUUUUGUGGGGUGCUCGAGUGGCGAACGGGUAAGUAACACGUGAGUAACCUGCCCUUGACUUUGGGAUAACUUCAGGAAACUGGGGCUAAUACCGGAUAGGAGCUCCUGCUGCAUGGUGGGGGUUGGAAAGUUUCGGCGGUUGGGGAUGGACUCGCGGCUUAUCAGCUUGUUGGUGGGGUAGUGGCUUACCAAGGCUUUGACGGGUAGCCGGCCUGAGAGGGUGACCGGCCACAUUGGGACUUAGAUACGGCCCAGACUCCUACGGGAGGCAGCAGUGGGGAAUAUUGCACAAUGGGCGGAAGCCUGAUGCAGCAACGCCGCGUGCGGGAUGACGGCCUUCGGGUUGUAAACCGCUUUCGCCUGUGACGAAGCGUGAGUGACGGUAAUGGGUAAAGAAGCACCGGCUAACUACGUG
rnacentral:rRNA from 1 species